rnacentral:rRNA from 1 species
CCAACAGGGAUUGCCCUAGUAACGGCGAGUGAAGCGGCAACAGCUCAAAUUUGAAAUCUGGCCUCGGCCCGAGUUGUAAUUUGCAGAGGAUGCUUCUGGCGCGGUGCCUUCCGAGUUCCCUGGAACGGGACGCCACAGAGGGUGAGAGCCCCGUAUGGUCGGACACCAAGCCUGUGUGAAGCUCCUUCGACGAGUCGAGUAGUUUGGGAAUGCUGCUCUAAAUGGGAGGUAAAUCUCUUCUAAAGCUAAAUACCGGCCAGAGACCGAUAGCGCACAAGUAGAGUGAUCGAAAGAUGAAAAGCACCUUGAAAAGGGGGUUAAAUAGUACGUGAAAUUGUUGAAAGGGAAGCACUUAUGACCAGACUUGGGCCGGGCGGCUCAUCAGGGGUUCUCCCCUGUGCACUCCGCCCGGCACAGGCCAGCAUCGGUUCUCGUGGGGGGAUAAGACCGUCAGGAACGUAGCACCCUCCGGGGUGUGUUAUAGCCUGGCGGACGAUACCCCCGUGGGGACCGAGGUCCGCGCUCCGCAAGGAUGCUGGCGUAAUGGUCAUCAGUGACCCGU